rnacentral:rRNA from 1 species
GUCUUGACNUCCUUUNNNNNNCUAGAGAUAGAGCUUUCCCUUCGGGGACAAAGUGACAGGUGGUGCAUGGUUGUCGUCAGCUCGUGUCGUGAGAUGUUGGGUUAAGUCCCGCAACGAGCGCAACCCUUAUUACUAGUUGCCAGCAUUNAGUUGGGCACUCUAGUGAGACUGCCGGUGACAAACCGGAGGAAGGUGGGGAUGACGUCAAAUCAUCAUGCCCCUUAUGACCUGGGCUACACACGUGCUACAAUGGAUGGUACAACGAGUCGCAAGGUCGCGAGGCCAAGCUAAUCUCUUAAAGCCAUUCUCAGUUCGGAUUGUAGGCUGCAACUCGCCUACAUGAAGCCGGAAUCGCUAGUAAUCGCGGAUCAGAACGCCGCGGUGAAUACGUUCCCGGG